UACGUAGGGAGCAAGCGUUGUCCGGAAUUACUGGGCGUAAAGCGCGCGUAGGCGGCUUUGUAAGUUAGAGGUGAAAGCCCAGGGCUCAACCCUGGAAUUGCCUUUAAGACUGCAUCGCUUGAACAUCGGAGAGGUAAGUGGAAUUCCGAGUGUAGAGGUGAAAUUCGUAGAUAUUCGGAAGAACACCAGUGGCGAAGGCGACUUACUGGACGAUUGUUGACGCUGAGGUGCGAAAGCGUGGGGAGCAAACAGG
rnacentral:rRNA from 1 species